rnacentral:rRNA from 1 species
AUUGAACGCUGGCGGCAUGCCUUACACAUGCAAGUCGAACGGCAGCGGGGGAGAAGCUUGCUUUUCCUGCCGGCGAGUGGCGAACGGGUGAGUAAUACAUCGGAACGUGCCCUGUAGUGGGGGAUAACUAGUCGAAAGAUUAGCUAAUACCGCAUACGACCUGAGGGUGAAAGUGGGGGACCGCAAGGCCGCAUGCUAUAGGAGCGGCCGAAGUCUGAUUAGCUAGGUGGUGGGGUAAAGGCCUACCAAGGCGACGAUCAGUAGCUGGUCUGAGAGGACGAUCAGCCACACUGGGACUGAGACACGGCCCAGACUCCUACGGGAGGCAGCAGUGGGGAAUUUUGGACAAUGGGCGAAAGCCUGAUCCAGCAAUGCCGCGUGUGUGAAGAAGGCCUUCGGGUUGUAAAGCACUUUUGUCCGGAAAGAAAUGGCUCUGGUUAAUACCUGGGGUCGAUGACGGUACCGGAAGAAUAAGGACCGGCUAACUACGUGCCAGCCGCCGCAGUAA